UCUCCGUUGGUGAACCAGCGGAGGGAUCAUUACAGGACUCGCAAGACUCCUUCACCCUGUAAACUAAACUACAAGCACGUUGCUUCGGCGGGUGCCUCGGCGCCGGUCCACCCUCCCCGGGGCGCGACGCACGCCGGCACCCCACCAAACUCUCUUUACCUUCGUUGGCAUCUCGAGUCCAAUCAAACAAGUUAAAACUUUCAACAACGGAUCUCUUGGUUCUC
rnacentral:misc_RNA from 1 species